rnacentral:tRNA from 1 species
GGAGAGAUGGCUGAGUUGGCUGAAGGCGCUCGCCUGGAAAGCGGGUAAACGUGAUGAGCGUUUCGAGGGUUCGAAUCCCUCUCUCUCCGCCA